AUGCUAUGUGGUUCGUCAGGACAGUGUAGUUAACAAAUUGUCAGCCAACAUAACGUGUAAGGUAACUUACUUGAAAAGUCAUUACUUUAUUGCAUUGAGUAGCAAGCUACCGCUGUGAUGGAUGAUGGAUUUCGGGCAAGAAGAUUGAGGGUUAGAAACCUGCUCCCUGCUUGUUUCAUUUGAAGUUGUGCACAAUUAUCAGUUUAUUAUUUGGUUUAUAUCGCCCAUUCAUUGUCAGUUAGAGACACAGUAGUGCAUUGGGACCCAAAAGCAUAAUCAGUGCUCUAACUCCCCCUUGGUCGUUAGGGAAAAUCUGUGAUAGGACGGGGGGGGUUUCACAUCAAGCUAGGAUAUUAGACUAUUCUUUAGUUAUGGUUGAAUAGUAUUUUGUUCAGCUAUUAGCCCCCCUCCCCAACUUGCAAAGAAUGGAUGUGUUUUUGUUGAGAGAAAAACUUUUUAAUUUUCAAUCAGAAUUUUUUUUUCUGAAAGCAACUUUAUUUUCAAUCAAAAAAAAGUUUUAAAUUUUUUUGCAAUAAAAUAUUGUGUAAUAGAGCGCAAAACUUCAUGCAUUUUAUUCCCCAAAAAUAUUUUGAGAACAAGAAUUGUAUUUGAAAACUAAACUCUCUCGUCCACAUUGAUACGAAUCAUAAAUUCAUAAGGUACUGAGAUGUUGUGGUAAACUGUGGGGUGUUGGGUUGAGCGUGCAGAGAUUGACACAGAGACAGGGAGGUUUUAGUCCGCAAAAACAACUUUACUAAGACAGAAAAUAAACAUAACAAAGAAAAUCACUGAGGUUUGGCUCGGUCCUUCUUCUCAACUGUGGCUUGGUGUCGGUCUCUCCCAGUUCUCUCUCACGGUGUGCCACAGUGCUCCUUUUAUUUGGCCUCCACGGCUGGUUGGCACUUUCCCCUAAUUACCUCCACCUAGAGCUGUCCAUGUCGGGGUGCCCAGCUCCCGUAUUCCCAGCAGAGGGAGCCAACGUCGCCUCACGUACCUCCCCUCUAUUACCAUUCCCCGGGGUAGACCUCCUGGGAUACCUCAAUGUAUAAUGUCUCCAUCAAAUCUAAGAAGUUAUUUAAACUUUUUUAUUCUUACUUAUUCAUAGACUUUUUUUAGAUGAUGUAUGAAAUUGGAGUUGUUCUUCAUCAACUGGUAAUACAUAAAUAAUGAAGCAGGUUAAUAGGUUAAACAUUUAACUUUUAAUUCCAAAACUUUUUUCAAGAUACAACAUUGUCAUCUUUGGCGGUAUAGAUGGAUUUUCAAGGAAGGUAUGUAUAUUAUUUUGUAUACAUAUUGCAUAUUUCCCAUCACCUAAUGAACAACCACAAUACCAGUCUGGUGUUAAGCUUUCUGUGCUGUAUUGACGUAUCCUGAAAAUGACAUCUGCUGCUUUAGAUUGAACGGUCAUGUCUCAGUUAUUGUUUUCAUAUCUACAAAAAAUAAGCAAUUUUCUUUAAUUUCAGAGUGCGAGCUGAUCAAGGGGUCGAAAAUGUAGAUAUUGCCAGAUGCUCACUGUCCGAGGAACAGGCCGUGGAAGAUUUAUUGCUGGCAAAAGUGUCCAUAACCAGAGGUUAUAUCAGCUGUGUUGGUGAACCCUUCCCGCAUCUGAACUGGGUGACACAUGGGGCACAACAUGAUUAUAGGUAUGUUUUGACGUGAGAGAGGAUGCUAGUCCCGUCAUCGCCACUUCACCCGCUCUUAAGAUAACCUUCGGGCCAACUGGGGGCCCAAGGCUGGUUAGGAGACAUUGCUAGAGACACUGUAAUUGUGUUGAACUGAGAGAAUAUUAGGGUAAAACUGUAAUUCAUUAAUCAUAUGCUGUCUGCCUCUGUUCUUAACUCUUUCCCUUUCUGUCUUCUACACCUCUCUCCCCACCUCAUCUUUCUUCCUCGUUUUAUAAUGCACACCAUAUGUGCAUUGAAGUACAGAUUGAACUCAUAUUUAUAACACCUGGAUAAUUAACUUAUUUCAAUAAAGCGUUUCACAUUCUCCACUGCUUGAAAUUAAGUAUCACAUUGAAAUACUAUCCUGUGUCCUCAGAUUAAUGCAGAUGAAUGGAGUUAGAUAUGCAUAGGUUUACUUACAGCCUUUACUUCAAUCAUGUUUCUAGUCUAUAAUGGAAUUUGAUACACCUGGUAUUGGAUAUCACUGAAAAAUAAUGUCUCACAGAGAUUCAUACCUGAUGUGCACCUUUAUUUGCCAAGGAAGAGUACAUAAUCAGUGAAUAUAUUCAAUGUACAGGCUACAAUGUGGGGAUCUCAUGCGUGGUAAUAACUACAGUGCAUGUAUAUAGGAUUUACAUCCUUGGCACAAUAAAGUUAUUAUAUUCUACUCUAUCCAUAGGCUUCAUUAAUACCAUUCAGACUUGAAGUUGAUACAACAACUAUGAUAGCUGAGGUUCAUAGAUUGGUAUGAAUUUUAGUUCAGAACCUAAUGUUUUAGGGUCCAUACACAGAUCGGCUACAUACUGUAGCUAGCUACACAUCCAUAGGCAUACAGUUAUUUUUAUCCUCCACCACACAAUAAGCAAG
rnacentral:lncRNA from 1 species